AUUGAACGCUGGCGGCAUGCCUUACACAUGCAAGUCGAACGGCAGCACGGGAGCAAUCCUGGUGGCGAGUGGCGAACGGGUGAGGUAAUAUAUCGGAACGUGCCCAGUCGUGGGGGAUAACGUAGCGAAAGCUACGCUAAUACCGCAUACGAUCUAUGGAUGAAAGCGGGGGAUCGCAAGACCUCGCGCGAUUGGAGCGGCCGAUAUCAGAUUAGGUAGUUGGUGAGGUAAAGGCUCACCAAGCCGACGAUCUGUAGCUGGUCUGAGAGGACGACCAGCCACACUGGGACUGAGACACGGCCCAGACUCCUACGGGAGGCAGCAGUGGGGAAUUUUGGACAAUGGGCGCAAGCCUGAUCCAGCAAUGCCGCGUGCAGGAUGAAGGCC
rnacentral:rRNA from 1 species